CUCCUCCCCCCAUUCAUGUAGCUGUUUAGCAUCCUCUCUCCGCAAGGCCUGCCUGAGACGGUGCUGAGAGGAACCUCCCAACUGGUCGCCUCUGCGUUAAAAAACCCUGUUAAUAGCCGAGCGGUGGUGCACACGGGAGGCAAAGACAGAAGCAUCUCUGAGCUCCACGCCAGCCAGACAGGAUUUCUCUGUGAAACAGUCCCGGCUGUCCUGGAAUUCACUUUGUAGUUGAGGAUGACCUUGAACUUCUAGUUUUUCUCCUACCUCCCAAACGUUGCCAUUACAGGCACAGCUGUCUGGCCUGGCACCCUAGGAUCCAAAAGCCUCAAGAUGCUGGUGUAGCCAUCUGGGACUUGGGACUCAGGAGACCGAUAAUUAACCCCUUCAGGACUGCAAUGGUGAUCAAAUCCACAUCCUCAUAUGGAACAAUGCUCCCAGCUUUGAGAGGAACCACAGGGCUGGCACUCCGGUUCUCUUCAUUGUGGACGGAACCCUGCCGUAUCCUUCCCCUGGUGUGUCCAGGUGUACCCAGAAUCCUCACCUGCCAGGGACCUCAGUGACUUGUCCUUCACCUACCACUACACCUGACCAAGAGUAUGGUGAAGAGGGUCCCUCCUCAGUCCACAGGAAGUUCUGAACUCCAGUUCCCAGGACUACUUCCUGCCUCUGAGCCUGUGCCAGGCUGGAGCCCAGCCUAGGGAAGCAGCUGUAAACUCUCCCAGACAUACUGCAGAGGUCUGGCGGGGCUAACCCUUCCUUUGGGCCUCUUUCUCUGUGAAGAGACUUCAGAGUCCUCGCUGAAGACUUUGAUGAGGACUACUCUUGAGUAUUGUAGCAAACACAGGGACAAAGCUCAUCCUUCCACUUACACAGGGGACUGAAUUCAUGGCUGGGUGCUGACGCCCAGUCAGAGCCUGGCUCGGGGCCUGCUCCAGGAUGCCAAGCAGACAGCAUUCUGAACAUCCCUGACCUCACUCCACAACUUCUGGGAAAUGGCACAAAUACAUACACUU